GAGUUGAUUGAUGGAUUAAUUUAAUUAAAUUUUCUGUGCUGGUUUUUUGGGCAUAAAUGGAAAUUAAUGUGCAAAAUAUGUGAGAGAUUUACAUAAUUGAUAAACGAUGCUGUGAAUUAUUCAAAUAAAAGUUUAUUUAAGCGGAACAUAGAAGAAAAAAAAGAAUUAUGGAAUAAAUUAUUGAAUUUCUUUUCUUGGAUUAUAGCUAGAGACAACAACAGAAACAAAAUUUAUGAGGCUGUGUUUUUAUGGACUUCCUUUUUCAAACAAACACUAAAUAGAAAAUACUAUUUUCCACCAGAAACACAAACAAAAACAAGGGACAUUUAUCAUAUUUUUUAUUGCGGCGUUAAAGGAGAAUAAAAAUAUUCAUACAAUACUUUUUUUGGUUUUUUCCGUUUCGGUUUGGCGUUCCCUUUGUUAGCGGCUGUCGGAUGAGCAAUUUAUGUGUCUGCAAACAAUAAAACUGGUA